CAGCUGCAUAGUGAGAUUUGCAAACAUUCAAUGCAAGCAAUCUGGCUGGCUAACAAUUGGCUAACUUAGCUAACUAGGACGUAACUUCAACGAACUUAAUAACGUUAUCUGACUAAAUUGUGUUAAACAAAGAAUAGCUGUCUAUCAAUUCAAUUGUUUUUUCUGCAGCUUGACGAUUCUCUGAAGUGUAUUGGUUUUUCGACAUGGAGAAGUGGCUGUAAUGAACCUGCAGGAAUGUGCACCUGUGGUGAUUCAUUUCCCUACGGCCUUUACAACAGCGACAACUUCAAGAUAACCCCUCAGACUUCUCAAGGUGGUGUGUGCUGGAACGUGCUGUAACACCAAAGGAAAUAUUGAGCAAUCAGAAAACCUUAUCUGACGACGGCACACGUGCCCUUUUUCAUUUUUUUCCCUUUUCUUUUUUUUUGUUGUUGUUACAAUUUCAUCAUGAUGAUUGGCAUUAGAACUAUGGUUCAUUGUUCUUGGCAACAGUUGAACUGGCGUUUCUGAUGAAAGUGAUUACUCAAGUGGGAAGAAUCCUACAUCCUUUUUUUGGUAUUAUUUUGUAGAGACUAUUAAAACGAAUUUUGAGCCUCCGAAAGGCCUUUGGUUGGA